GACGAACGCUGGCGGCGUGCCUAAUACAUGCAAGUCGAACGAAGAAGCUUGGUGCUUGCUCCGAGCGGAUGAGUUGCGAACGGGCGAGUAACGCGUAGGUAACCUGCCUGGUAGCGGGGGAUAACUAUUGGAAACGAUAGCUAAUACCGCAUAAGAGUAGAUGUUGCAUGACAUUUGCUUAAAAGGUGCAAUUGCAUCACUACCAGAUGGACCUGCGGUGUCUUAGCUAGUUGGUGAGGUAACGGCUUACCAAGGGAACGAUACAGAACCGGACUGGAAGGGGGAACGGCCCCACUGGGACCGGAAAACGGCUCAGACUUCCUCGGGGAGCAGCAGGAGGGGAUCCUCGGGAAAGGACGGAAGGCUGACCGAGCAACGCCGCGGGGGGGAAGAAGGGUUUCGGAUCGGAAAGAUCCUUUGUAAGAGAAGAAAGAGUUGGGUAAUGGAAAGUUCACACUGUGACGGUAUCUAAUCAGAAAGGGACGGCUAACUACGUG
rnacentral:rRNA from 1 species